rnacentral:rRNA from 1 species
UACAGAGGGUGCAAGCGUUGUUCGGAAUUAUUGGGCGUAAAGCGCGUGUAGGCGGCUUUGCAAGUCGGGUGUGAAAGCCCUCAGCUCAACCCAGGAACUGCGUCCGAUACUGGAAGGCUUGAAUCCGGGAGAGGGAUGCGGAAUUCCAGGUGUAGCGGUGAAAUGCGUAGAUAUCUGGAGGAACACCGGUGGCGAAGGCGGCAUCCUGGACCGGUAUUGACGCUGAGGCGCGAAAGCCAGGGGAGCAAACGGG